AUGGCGACGAAGCCUUCGCAGGACGCGCCGCUCCCGCUCCACACCGUGCAAACGGACCAGCCCCUCGCCACCGUCAACCGGCUCCUCGCCGCCGUCCACCUGGCGCUCGGCGCGGCAGCCAUCGCCCACCGCGGCGCCCACGUGAUGCUGGCGGCCGACCUGGUCCUCCUCUUCCUGUGGGCGCUGUCGCAGGCGCCCAUGUGGCGCCCCGUGUCCCGCACCGCCUUCCCGUCCCGGCUCUCGCGCGCCGCCCUCCCGGCCGUGGACGUGAUGGUGGUGACGGCCGACCCGGAGAAGGAGCCCGCGGCGAAGGUGAUGAACACGGUGGUCUCCGCCAUGGCGCUCGACUACCCGGGCGGGCGGCUGAGCGUGUACCUCUCCGACGACGCCGGGUCACCGCGGACGCUGCUCGCCGCCAGGAAGGCCUACGCCUUCGCCAGGGCCUGGGUGCCCUUCUGCAGGAAGUACGGCGUGCGGUGCCCGUGCCCCGACAGGUUCUUCGCCGGCGAUGACAAGCUCGACCUCGGUAGUCACCACCACCACGAGCUCGCCGACGACAGGCUAAGAAUCAAGAAUAUGUACGAGACGUUCAAUGAGGGUGUCCGGGAGGUGAUGAGCGACGCAGAUCUUUCUCAGAGUUGCACAAAAGCAGAUCACGAUGCUCACGUCGAGAUCAUCACCGGCGAUGAGCAAGACAGCAGCAACAGCAACUCCGGCGACGGCGAGGAGGAUGAGGACGCCAUGCCCUUGCUGGUCUACGUGUCUCGCGAGAAGCGGAGGUCGUCGACUCACCACUUCAAAGCCGGCGCACUCAACGUCCUUCUCCGUGUGUCGAGCCUGUUGAGCAACUCGCCGUACGUGAUGGUGCUGGACUGCGACAUGUACUGCAACAGCCGGAGCUCCAUCCUCGAGGCCAUGUGCUUCCACCUCGACGGCCGCCGCCGCGCCGAUCUCGCCUUCGUGCAGUUCCCUCAGAUGUUCCACAACCUCAGCAGCAGCGACAUCUACGCCAACGAGCUCAGAUCCAUCUUCUGGACGCGGUGGAAAGGCUUGGAUGGCCUCCGGGGCCCGAUCCUCUCCGGCACCGGCUUCUGCGCCAGGAGAGACGCCAUCUACGGCGCCCGGCCGGCCAGCUCGCAAGAUCAGUUCUCCGGUGUGGAGGUCGGCGAGCUUAAGAGAAGGUUUGGCGUCUCGAAUGGUCACAUAGCGUCGCUGCGCCGAUCCGGGACCGGGAGCACCAUUGUUGCACGUGAUGCUCUCCCACAGGAGGAUGCAGAGUUGGUGGCGUCCUGCGCUUACGAGACGGGCACCGAAUGGGGCGAGCAGGUCGGCUUCUUGUACCAGUCGGUGGUGGAGGACUACUUCACGGGCUACCGGCAGCUCUACUGCCGAGGGUGGACGUCCGUCUACUGCUUCCCGGCGGCGGCGUCGAGGCCGCCGUUCCUCGGCAGCGUGCCCACCAACCUCAACGACGCGCUGGUGCAGAACAAGCGGUGGAUGUCCGGCAUGCUCGCCGUCGGCCUGUCCAGGCACUGCCCCCUCGCCUCCGCCGCCAUCUGCGUGCCUCAGAGCAUGGGCUUCGCCUACUACGCCUUCAUGGCCCUGUACGCCUUCCCCGUGCUCUGCUACGCCACCGUGCCGCAGCUCUGCUUCCUCCGCGGCGGCACGUCGUUCCCAGGGGCGGCUUCGACGCUCUGGUUCGCCGCCGUGUUCGCGUCGUCGUCGCUGCAGCACCUGGUGGAGGUGUCGGUGGCCAAGCGUGGGCUGGCGUUGAGGACGUGGUGGAACGAGCAGAGGUUCUGGGCGCUCAACGCCGUCACGGGCCAGCUCUUCGCCUGCCUCGGCGUCGCCCUCAACCUGGUCGGCGCCGGCGGCCGGGCGGUGGACUUCGACCUCACCAGCAAGGCGUCCGACGACAGGCUCUACCGGGAUGGCGUGUUCGACUUCGCCGGAUGCACCACGCUGCUCCUGCCGGCCACCACGCUCUGCCUGCUCAACGCCGCGGCGCUCGUCGGCGGGGUCUGGAAGAUGGUCGGCAGGGGCGGCAGCGUGUCCGGCGAGCUGUUCCUCCUCUGCUACGUCGCGGCGCUGAGCUAUCCGCUGCUGCAAGGGAUGUUCCUCAGGCGGGAUCCCGCAAGAGUUCCUGCGCCGAUCACGGCGAUGUCCGUCGCCAUGGUUGCCGCUCUGCUGUCCUUGUUUGGUUAA
rnacentral:rRNA from 1 species